AAUGAACGCUGGCGGCAUGCCUUACACAUGCAAGUCGAACGGCAGCAUGACCUAGCUUGCUAGGUUGAUGGCGAGUGGCGAACGGGUGAGUAAUGCAUCGGAACGUGCCUUUUAGUGGGGGAUAACGUAGCGAAAGUUACGCUAAUACCGCAUAUUCUCUGAGGAGGAAGGCAGGGGACCUUCGGGCCUUGCGCUAGAAGAGCGGCCGAUGUCGGAUUAGCUAGUUGGUGAGGUAAAGGCUCACCAAGGCAACGAUCCGUAGCGGGUCUGAGAGGAUGAUCCGCCACACUGGGACUGAGACACGGCCCAGACUCCUACGGGAGGCAGCAGUGGGGAAUUUUGGACAAUGGGCGCAAGCCUGAUCCAGCCAUGCCGCGUGAGUGAAGAAGGCCUUCGGGUUGUAAAGCUCUUUCGGCUGGGAAGAAAUCGCACCCUCUAAUACAGGGUGUGGAUGACGGUACCAGCAGAAGAAGCACCGGCUAACUACGUG
rnacentral:rRNA from 1 species